rnacentral:tRNA from 1 species
CCUUCGAUAGCUCAGUUGGUAGAGCGGUGGACUGUAGUUGGUUGAUAUUUGAGAGACAUCCAUAGGUCGCUGGUUCAAAUCCGGCUCGAAGGA